AAUAGUUGUUUAUUUCCUAGUCACUAAAUUAAUGCAUAUUCCAUUGUUAAAUUUCAGAAAAUAGAAAAACAAAGAAAAGUAACCCUUACUGUGCAACCAAUAUAACCACUACUUACUUUUUGGUACACAAUAUUUCUUCCUUGGACAUACCGCACACACAGAUUGUCUCUGUGCUUUCAGCCACAGCCACUGGCACCUUUAAUAGUCUUAAUCUUUCCUGCUGUGGGCAAACCUAUUUCACCCCAUGUAUGAAACCUUUUGCGAUUUUUUUUCCUCUGUAUCCUUACAGCAUUCAUGUUGUAUGAUAAUUACCUAUUCGUAUGUCUUUUGGACCAAGUUCCUAGGAGCAAGCUAAAGUUCUAGAACUAUUAGAAUAAAGCAAGAGAUAGAAGAGACCAGAAUGUCAGAUGCACAAGUGGUUUCACACACCAGUUUGUGAACUGGGGUUCAUCUAUGGUGAAGUUUCUGCAAAUCAGCGGAGGAAUGAGAAAAGGAUAUAUAUAGUUCCUCCAGAAGCAGUCUUCAAGCCAAGAAUUGAGCAUAAGUGGUUUGCUAAUACCCAGCCCCAGAAGAAGAAACCAGUAAGGGAGUAGAAGAAGCAGACUGAGGAGAGGGAAGAACCUAAGAGAGGUCAUAAGGGUGUAGAAGAUAGCAGUGCACACCAAGGGCAUGCAGAAAUAGAACCCGAAGAGCCACCAAUCCUUUACAUCUUGGUAAAACUGUAAGAUUGUUUAUUUACGAAGGAUAAUGCGGCCUCCUGUAUCAUCUCAGUUCCCACAGUAAAAAAUAAUCAUGCUGCUCUGUGAAAAACUGGACGGUUGCUGAAUAUAGAAAGAGGCCCAGUAGGCUACACUUGUAACAUGUCUAUUAAAAUAAUCUAUAAAUGGCUCCUGAGGAAAAAAAGUUCUGGGCAGAGGUUCUUAACUGUUCUUAUGCCAUCGACCCCUUUGAACGUCUGGUGAAGACUGUAAUCCUUUCUGAGAAUAACACUUCUAUAUGCCUAAAAGUAAGAUUACAGGGUAACCAGUUACAUUGAAACACAGCCAUUGAAAUAGUAAAAAGAAAAUUCUGAUAUAGAAAUAGAGGUGUUUAUUAACAAGUUAAGGGAAAAAUCUAACGUUGGUUCUAAUAACUAUCAGAAGUUGAAAAGUGAUGAGUGUAAAUGAUAUUUCAAGAUUAUCUAAAUGUUAUUGUGACAAGAAAAUGUCUAUUAUUCCUAUUAGUAGAAAUAUGGUUCUGUUAAAUAUGCUUGUGGUUCAUUGCCUACAUUCACAAUAGAAGGAAAUGAUAAAUUCCAGUUAGAAGUUACUGAAAAUAAAUAUGUAAUUUCUUUUCCAUUUAAGUUCACAGGCCCCUGAAUUCUAUCCUAAAGUUACUGUAAACUACCAAAGGAGUUGGUUUAUUCAGAUGUAUUCAUACAAAUAUCUCCCUCUCCAUAUCACACUGUAGAAGAUUUCAGUACUGAAGUCAAAAAAACAACAAAAAAAAAAAAAAAGAAAAAAAAAUCAGAACUCUUUACCCCUCCCGCCCCCCUUCCAGAUGCAUUGCUGACUGGGUAUGAAUGCUGCAGAAGCAGCUGCAGAGGGUUUGGAAGCUGACCCCUGAGGGGUCUGGUUGGAGCCCCUGCCCCCUCCAAGGCACAGGCCUGUAGAGAAAGGGGUCACACAUUUCUUUUGAACUAAUGUCAUCAGCCAGGGUAUGAAGGGACCUCCCUCCACUCUAGGUUAGAGCAAAGUUGAGGAGGAAAGAAUGGAACACAAACUAGGCAACAAGAGGAGAAAAAGAAUCUGGAAACUUCAGACUCGGAACGGAAUGUAAAAAAUGAUCAGUAUAAACUCCUACCUUUUACUGAAACCCUAAGGUAGCCAACCUUUGCUUGCCCACUCUUAUUAGAGACUUGUCUUUGCGAAAGCUCUUUUCAUUUUGCCUGGUUCACAUGAUUAGUAGCCCCUUCUUAUAUCAAGACUCUUUUCUCUAACACUUUAGCCUGGAAUAUCUAGAUGGCUUAUUCCCACUUCCCAAAUUCUGAUAACCUCCUGCUGUUUUCUUUGUUCUUUCACUUUGGAGACUGACUUAAUAAAAAGGUCAGUAGAUAAACAGAAUACCUUCAUUUUACCAUUGCCAGUUUGGCAGUUUUCAAGAGCACUUUUAAAUUUAAAAUAAGAAUUUCCAAAGAGGAAAACUGGUCAACUGUAAAACCACUAAUUUUGUGAAUUUUCCAAGUUAGGAAAACAUACCUGGAGAUGUCUGUAAAUGAUUAAAUGUGGAAUCUGAGCUGUAUGAAACCUACAUCAAAGCACUAAAUUAUGCCGGUUUAAGAGAAGUAGUUACCCUUUUAGUUUUUCUCCUCUGUCCACAUUUGACUAGUUUGGUAAAGGAAAUACGCAUUUUAAACAUGUUUUCCAAUACACUCAAUUACAUAAUUAAAGUCUGCAGAAAAACAUAAUGUGGUCAGGUGUAUUAAAUAAAGACGGAAUUCGCUUAACUAAAACACUUUAAAAAAAGUUCUGCAAAUUUAUAUCAUUUGUAUAAUACAUGCAGAAUUGUACGACCAUAAGUACCUA